GGGAGGCAGCAGUGAGGAAUAUUGGUCAAUGGACCAAAAGUCUGAUCCAGCAAUUCUGUGUGUUUGAUGAAGGCCUUCGGGUUGUAAGAACUUUCAGUGGGGAAGAAGCAAGUGACGGGUACCCACAGAAGAAGCGACGGCUAAAUACGUGCCAGCAGCCGCGGUAAUACGUAUGUCGCAAGCGUUAUCCGGAAUUAUUGGGCAUAAAGGGACGUCUAGGCGGUCUAAUAAGUCUGAUGUGAAAAUAGCGGGGGCUCAACUCCGUAUUGCGUUGGAAACUGUUAGACUAGAGUUUUGGAGAGGUAGGCGGAACUACAAGUGUAGAGGUGAAAUUCGUAGAGAUUUGUAGGAAUGCCGAUGACGAAGGUAGCUUACUGGACAAAUACUGACGCUGAAGCGCGAAAGCUAGGGGAGCAAACAGGAUUAGAUACCCUGGUAG
rnacentral:rRNA from 1 species